AGCGAACGCUGGCGGCAGGCUUAACACAUGCAAGUCGAGCGGGCCCUUCGGGGUCAGCGGCAGACGGGUGAGUAACACGUGGGAACGUACCCUUUGGUUCGGAAUAACGCUGGGAAACUAGCGCUAAUACCGGAUACGCCCUUUUGGGGAAAGGCUUGCUGCCGAAGGAUCGGCCCGCGUCUGAUUAGCUAGUUGGUGGGGUAAUGGCCUACCAAGGCGACGAUCAGUAGCUGGUCUGAGAGGAUGAUCAGCCACACUGGGACUGAGACACGGCCCAGACUCCUACGGGAGGCAGCAGUGGGGAAUAUUGGACAGUGGGCGCAAGCCUGAUCCAGCCAUGCCGCGUGAGUGAUGAAGGCCUUAGGGUUGUAAAGCUCUUUUGUCCGGGACGAUAAUGACGGUACCGGAAGAAUAAGCCCCGGCUAACUUCGUG
rnacentral:rRNA from 1 species